CAGGAAAGCUUGCCCGAGUCUUUGGUGUCCAGAGCCCUUGCUGGAGCUUGACCACAUGCUGCCUGCAUGACUGACCUUUGCUCUCCAGUCCCUAUGGGGGCUGGAACUGAUAUGGCGUGUUUCGGAGCCCCCAUUAUAAAUCACAUCAUUUGAGCAUCUGGUGGCCAAACUCCUCAGGCAAACAAUGACAUUCCUAUUGGGCAGGACAUUCCAGAGGCCUAGAGAUCAUCUCCCAGUAGCCGAGGGCCAAAGCCAGACCUCUCUUUGGUUGGCUUCAGGUCACAUGUUGCUCUGGAGAACCGAGAAGGGUGAGCAGACACCAAUCAUGACCCCAAACAGCAAGAGGACAGAAGGGAUCCCCCCUACUCCACAGCUUGACGGCAGAGCAGUGACCAGAAUAUAUGCUCAGGAAGGCCAAAGAGAUGAAGCCGCAGCUGCCUCUUUUUUUUUUUUGAGACAGUCUCAUUCUGUUGCCCGGGCUGGAGUGCAGUGGUGCGAUCUCGGCUCACUGUAACCUCCACCUCCCAGGUUCAAGCAAUUCUCGUACCUCAGCCUCCCAGGUAGCUGGAACUAUACAGGUGUACCAUCACACCCGGCUAAUUAUUUUUUGUCUUUUUUUGUAGAGAUGGGGUUUCGCCAUGUUGGUCAGGCUGGUCUCGAACUCCUGGCCUCAGGUGAUCCACGCACCUCCGCCUCCCAAAGUCCUGGGAUUAGAGGCGUGAGCCACCGUGCCCAGCCAGGCUUGCUUCUCUGAGCCAUACCCUUCUGUUGGAACAAGCAUCCUUUCUAUUAAAAGCAAUAAAUCUCCUCUUAUUUAAGUGGC
rnacentral:lncRNA from 10 species